GACGAACGCUGGCGGCGUGCUUAACACAUGCAAGUCGAACGGAAAGGCCCUGCUUUUGUGGGGUGCUCGAGUGGCGAACGGGUGAGUAACACGUGAGUAACCUGCCCUUGACUUUGGGAUAACUUCAGGAAACUGGGGCUAAUACCGGAUAGGAGCUCCUGCUGCAUGGUGGGGGUUGGAAAGUUUCGGCGGUUGGGGAUGGACUCGCGGCUUAUCAGCUUGUUGGUGGGGUAGUGGCUUGCCAAGGCUUUGACGGGUAGCCGGCCUGAGAGGGUGACCGGCCACAUUGGGACUGAGAUACGGCCCAGACUCCUACGGGAGGCAGAAGUGGGGAAUAUUGCACAAUGGGCGGAAGCCUGAUGCAGCAACGCCGCGUGCGGGAUGACGGCCUUCGGGUUGUAAACCGCUUUCGCCUGUGACGAAGCGUGAGUGACGGUAAUGGGUAAAGAAGCACCGGCUAACUACGUG
rnacentral:rRNA from 1 species